GACCAGACUCGCCUCCAGGGUUCAGCCGGCAUUCGUGCCGGUGUACUUCCCUGGGGGCGGGCCAGCGUCGGUUUGGGCGGCCGGUCAAAGGCUCCCGGAAUGUAGUGCCCUUCGGGGCACCUUAUAGCCGGGAGUGCAAUGCGGCCAGCCUGGACCGAGGAACGCGCUUCGGCACGGACGCUGGCAUAAUGGUCGCAAACGACCCGUCUUGA
rnacentral:rRNA from 1 species